UCAUCUCAUCUCAUCUCUCUUCUCUCAUCUUCCCACCGAUCCAUAGAACUUCAAACCUCCAUCUCAUCUCCUCCGGUCCAUGUACGCAUCGAUCCAUAGAACUUCUCUCAUCUCCAUCGAUCCAUAGAACUUCAACCUCCAUCUCCAUCUCCAUCGAUCCGUAGAAGCUACUUUAAGAUAAUCCUUAAACUUAUGGUUAUAGUAUGAGUUGGGUUUUUGGGUUUGGAGUAGUGGGGCUUCUGGGUUUUAUUGUUUUUUUGUUUAGUUUGAACUCUUAGCAAACCCCCAAAAGUUCUUUGCUCGUUUUGUAUGAUUUUAAUGGGUUAAGUUUAAAACUGGUACUUUUGUUAUUUACAGCUUGUGAUUCUCGAUUUCAGAAGAGUGAAGUCACUUCCGGAAUCAAUUAUUCACAAGCCUGUGAUUUGAUUUGUUGCUGUAUUCCAAGGCUGUCAAGAUGAACAAUCAUGAUAGUUGAUCGGAUGAGGAAUGUCGGUACUUUCUUCAACUUUAUACUACCGAGAAAAGAAUGGGGAACACAACAAAGAUAGGAUUGAAUCAGAUUGGAAAGGAUUCUGUCACAAAGAAGUUUGAAGAGAAAUUUCAAAAGAAAUAUCUAUGGAUUAGGUUUAAAAACAAGUAUGAUGUGUGUAGAAGAUCAUACAAUAGGUAUAAGAUCUUGCUCUGUAACAUAACUGAAAUUACCUUUGAUGCUUUUGGAAGAAUAGACAUGACUGAUAAUUGGUGUAAUGAACGAAUUAAGGAAUGACCUGAAGCUGUAAAGUAUAAGAACCAACUCCUGCCCAACAUGGAUGUUUUUAGAGAGGCGUUUUGUUCAGUUAUUGUUACUGGAGCAGAGGGAUGGAGCACCCAACAAGGAGAAACAAGUUUAGAUUCUAGAGUUGAUGCAGAAAAUGGUGAUGAAGCAGAUUCAGUUGAUACAAGUGGUAGGAACACAGUUUAGAGAGAGAAGUUCUGGAUCAGAAAGAAAGCGGAAGGAGGUUGACUUAGCUACAGAGACUUCUUCUUCAAGAAACUUGAUUCUUACUCGUAAGAAUGAAUUAGUUGAGAAGAUGUUGGAGCGUGAUGAUAUUUGCAGUGUUGUGUGUGUAGUAGAGAUUAUGAAUGAUGUCGCCAAUCAACAGGGUUUCAUUGCUUUUUCUAGUAUUGAGGAUAAGAUUAGUUAUAUGGAGCAUAGGACUGAAAUAUGUAUUGAUGACUAAACUUGUUUAUUUGUUGAUCACUUUGCUAUGGUUAUUUUAUGAAAUUUUUAGAACUUGUUUAU